rnacentral:rRNA from 1 species
GACGAACGCUGGCGGCGUGCUUAACACAUGCCAGUCGAACGGAAAGGCCCUGCUUUUGUGGGGUGCUCGAGUGGCGAACGGGUGAGUAACACGUGAGUAACCUGCCCUUGACUUUGGGAUAACUUCAGGAAACUGGGGCUAAUACCGGAUAGGAGCUCCUGCUGCAUGGUGGGGGUUGGAAAGUUUCGGCGGUUGGGGAUGGACUCGCGGCUUAUCAGCUUGUUGGUGGGGUAGUGGCUUACCAAGGCUUUGACGGGUAGCCGGCCUGAGAGGGUGACCGGCCACAUUGGGACUGAGAUACGGCCCAGACUCCUACGGGAGGCAGCAGUGGGGAUAUUGCACAAUGGGCGGAAGCCUGAUGCAGCAACGCCGCGUGCGGGAUGACGGCCUUCGGGUUGUAAACCGCUUUCGCCUGUGACGAAGCGUGAGUGACGGUAAUGGGUAAAGAAGCACCGGCUAACUACGUG